rnacentral:rRNA from 1 species
UACGGAGGGUGCAAGCGUUAUCCGGAUUCACUGGGUUUAAAGGGUGCGUAGGCGGGUAUUUAAGUCAGUGGUGAAAUCUCUGGGCUUAACUCAGAAACUGCCAUUGAUACUAUUUGUCUUGAAUUCUGUUGAGGUGGGCGGAAUAUGUCAUGUAGCGGUGAAAUGCUUAGAUAUGACAUAGAACACCGAUUGCGAAGGCAGCUCACUAAACAGAUAUUGACGCUGAGGCACGAAAGCGUGGGGAUCAAAC